CUUCGGGAUUUGGUAAACUUACUUUUAGAGGGGAUGAAGUAGACCUGGCGUUGAAGUUAAACGCCAGGGGUGACAGUACCCUUUCGAAAUAAGCCACGGCUAACUACGUGC
rnacentral:rRNA from 1 species